AGUGAACGCUGGCGGUAGGCCUAACACAUGCAAGUCGAACGGCAACACAGUAAGAGCUUGCUCUUACGGGUGGCGAGUGGCGGACAGGUGAGGAAUACAUCGGAAUCUACUUUUUCGUGGGGGAUAACGUAGGGAAACUUACGCUAAUACCGCAUACGACCUACGGGUGAAAGCAGGGGAUCUUCGGACCUUGCGCGAUUGAAUGAGCCGAUGUCGGAUUAGCUAGUUGGCGGGGUAAAGGCCCACCAAGGCGACGAUGCGUAGCUGGUCUGAGAGGAUGAUCAGCCACACUGGAACUGAGACACGGUCCAGACUCCUACGGGAGGCAGCAGUGGGGAAUAUUGGGCAAUGGGCGCAAGCCUGAUCCAGCCAUACCGCGUGGGUGAAGAAGGCCUUCGGGUUGUAAAGCCCUUUUGUUGGGAAAGAAAAACAGCAGGUUAAUACCCCGCUGUUCUGACGGUACCCAAAGAAUAAGCACCGGCUAACUUCGUG
rnacentral:rRNA from 1 species